GUGCCAGCCGCCGCGGUAAUACGCUAUGGGAGCAAGCGUUAAUCGGAAUUACUGGGCGUAAAGUCUUUUGCAGGCGGUUGUGCAAGACCGAUGUGAAAUCCCCGGGCUUAACCUGGGAAUGGCAUUGGUGACUGCACGGCUAGAGUGUGUCAGAGGGGGGUAGAAUUCCACGUGUAGCAGUGAAAUGCGUAGAGAUGUGGAGGAAUACCGAUGGCGAAGGCAGCCCCCUGGGAUAACACUGACGCUCAUGCACGAAAGCGUGGGGAGCAAACAGGAUUAGAUACCCUGGUAGUCCACGCCCUAAACGAUGUCAACUAGUUGUCGGGUCUUCAUUGACUUGGUAACGCAGCUAACACGUGAAGUUGACCGCCUGGGGAGUACGGUCGCAAGAUUAAAACUCAAAGGAAUUGACGGGGACCCGCACAAAGCGGUGGGGGAGGUGGGAUUAAUUCGAUGCAACGCGGAAAAACCUUACCUACCCUUUGACAUUGUACGGAAGCCCGUAGAGAUUCGUGCCUGCUCCAAAAGAAAAGCAGGAAACACAGGUGCUGCAUGGCUGACGGCAU
rnacentral:rRNA from 1 species